AGUGAACGCUGGCGGUAGGCCUAACACAUGCAAGUCGAACGGCAGCACAGUAAGAGCUUGCUCUUACGGGUGGCGAGUGGCGGACGGGUGAGGAAUACAUCGGAAUCUACUUUUUCGUGGGGGAUAACGUAGGGAAACUUACGCUAAUACCGCAUACGACCUACGGGUGAAAGCAGUGGAUCUUCGCACCUUGCGCGAUUGAAUGAGCCGAUGUCGGAUUAGCUAGUUGGCGGGGUAAAGGCCCACCAAGGCGACGAUCCGUAGCUGGUCUGAGAGGAUGAUCGGCCACACUGGAACUGAGACACGGUCCAGACUCCUACGGGAGGCAGCAGUGGGGAAUAUUGGGCAAUGGGCGCAAGCCUGAUCCAGCCAUACCGCGUGGGUGAAGAAGGCCUUCGGGUUGUAAAGCCCUGUUGUUGGGAAAGAAAAGCAGCAGGUGAAAACCCCGCUGUUCUGACGGUACCCAAAGAAUAAGCACCGGCUAACUUCGUG
rnacentral:rRNA from 1 species